CCCCCCUCCUCCCCCCUCAGACGAAUAAGUCUUCCGCCUUUUACUAAGUUUUCCGUGGAGGGGAACAAUAAAUGAGUCUGUUAUAAAUUUUUCAUAGUGCUCUGCUCUUGUGGAGU